GUAGGUGAACCUGCGGAGGGAUCAUUACAGAGUUCAUGCCCUAACGGGUAGAUCUCCCACCCUGUGUUAUUAUUACUAUGUUGCUUUGGCGGGCCGUCAGGCUCACGCCCGACCACCGGCUCCGGCUGGUGCGCGCCCGCCAGAGGACCCAAAACCCUGAAUAUUAGUGUCGUCUGAGUACUAUAUAAUAGUUAAAACUUUCAACAACGGAUCUCUUGGUUCUGGCAUCGAUGAAGAACGCAGCAUCUGA
rnacentral:misc_RNA from 1 species